GGAUACAUCAUUAUUGAAUGUGACCAACUUCAGAGCAUUCUGCUGUCAAGAAUGUCUCUGAUAGAAUAUAGGUAUAAGUGUCUCUUAGACCUGAGAUCGCCUCAGUGACUUACAAGCAACUCACUGUGCUUUGGUACUGGACUAAUUAAAUUUUUAAUUCAGUGAUGGAAGUCUUUUGGGCACAGUUAAGUACUUACGAAGUCAGAGUGUGAUCG
rnacentral:lncRNA from 1 species